UUUCAAUGAGCACUCACCUUUUCCUUUCUUCCGGUGGAGACAUUGCCAGAGAGCAUUAAGGACUGGUUGGAAGCUGUGAGAGAGAUAGAGACGAGCCGCACAAAUUUGCGAGCUCCUCAAGAUAGCUCCGUCACGGGGAAAAUUUCAUCUAAAUGAGAUGCACCAGACGGGAGAUGUGAUUCUCGGUGGACUUUUUGAAAAUAACCUAUUCUCUGCUGAUCCUGAUCUCUCUUUUAUUUUCGAGCCACAUCAGUCUAACUGCUAUGGUUUUAAUGUUAUAGGAUACAGACAUGCUCAGACCAUGGCCUUUGCUAUUGAUGAGAUCAACAGAAACUCCAACCUGCUGC